CAGCAGUAGCCGCGGGAAUACGAGGGGAGCUAGCGUUGUACGGAAUUACUGGGCGUAAAGCGCGCGUAGGCGGCUUUUUAAGUCAGAGGUGAAAGCCCGGGGCUCAACCCCGGAAUUGCCUUUGAAACUGGAAAGCUAGAAUCUUGGAGAGGUCAGUGGAAUUCCGGGUGUAGAGGUGAAAUUCGUAGAUAUUCGGAAGAACACCAGUGGCGAAGGCGACUGACUGGACAAGUAUUGACGCUGAGGUGCGAAAGCGUGGGGAGCAAACAGGAUUAGAUACCCCAGUAGUCCCUGUCUCUUAUAC
rnacentral:rRNA from 1 species